GACGAACGCUGGCGGCGUGCCUAAUACAUGCAAGUCGAACGAACCGCGACUAGGUGCUUGCACUUGGUCAAGGUGAGUGGCGAACGGGUCAGUAACACGUGGGUAACCUACCUCAUAGUGGGGGAUAACAGUCGGAAACGACUGCUAAUACCGCAUAGGACAUAGGAUCACAUGAUCCAGUGAGGAAAGGUGGCGCAAGCUAUCGCUAAGAGAUGGACCCGCGGUGCAUUAGCUAGUUGGUAGGGUAAAGGCCUACCAAGGCGAUGAUGCAUAGCCGACCUGAGAGGGUGAUCGGCCACAUUGGGACUGAGACACGGCCCAAACUCCUACGGGAGGCAGCAGUAGGGAAUCUUCCGCAAUGGACGCAAGUCUGACGGAGCAACGCCGCGUGAGUGAAGAAGGUCUUCGGAUCGUAAAGCUCUGUUGUUAGAGAAGAACAGCGCAUAGAGUAACUGUUAUGCGUGUGACGGUAUCUAACCAGAAAGCCACGGCUAACUACGUG
rnacentral:rRNA from 1 species